CUCUCUCUCUCUGUCUCGCGCCUCUCUCUCUCUCUCUGUCUCUCGGGAUUUCAGAUUCUGACGGGGAUUUCCCAUCGGUCCACCGACGCCGUCUUCUCGCCGCCGUCUUCUCGUCGACGCCGCCCUGGCACGUAUGAUGAGACUGAUAGAAUAAUUGGGAAGACGAAGUAGAUAUCUUCUGCUCCUGUCCAUCUCAGUAUCUAUUCUCCAAAUGAUGGACAAGAGUUGGAUGCAAAUCACUGAUAGAUUUGGAUCUAGGGAAUAUGCUAAAGGAGUUAAUGAGUUUCUUACCUUUGCCCGGUCUCAUGCUACAAGUGAGGCAAUCCGUUGCCCAUGUGUCCGAUGUUCAAAUAAUCACUUUCGACCAAUAAAUCAGGUAGAGAGACACUUGUUUAUUAAAGGUAUUGACAAGAAUUAUACGGUGUGGAUUUUUCAUGGUGAGGAAGAAGAUUUAAUCAUAAGUGAUGAUGAUGAUGAUUUGUAUGAUCUCGAACAAGAGGAUGACUUCAUUGAUGACGUUGAUGUUAUGUUACGAGA